UCUCCUCUGAUGCCGCACAGCAGUUCCCGGUGAAGCAGCCCAAAUGGUAUGUGAGAAAUGGAAAUGAAGCCAGUUGUGGGUUUUUUUUCCAGUACUGUAAAAUAUUACAAGGACCUUGCUAUGCAUCUCUGCUUUCCUCUGUUCUCCUGUAUGUUUGGGUGUGAUUUAGUGGGUAUGGCUUGUGGCCAGAGCUAGAUAGAAUCUCAAAACACAUACAGUGACAUAGUGAGGAUUAUUUUAUAGAGAGGUAAACAAACCUCUUUUCUCCCCUCCCCUUAGCAGUAAGUUGGUAAAGCCAGUGAAUUUUAACAGAGCCCUAAAAAAAAUAAAAUAAAAGUGUCUGCCUGUUUCCUAGGUACACCACAUUACCCACAGCUUGUCUUACCACUCCCCAAGAAAGUUUGUGCAAGUCCUAAAAUAAUUUCAUCCCACUGGCCCACAAAUAUUCCCAUUUGGUAAGCCUUAUAUAGAGUAAUUAUUGUUUAACAUGGCACCACAGCUAGGUCAGGGUUUAUUUUGGGUUCUAUGUUAUAAAAAGCUGUUUGUAAAAAAAAUUACUCUGUUUGCCGAUCUGUCAUUUUGAACAAAUGGGUCUAGAAACUUGUUAGUUGACUUUGUUGUUGUUUGUUUUGCCUUAAGAGUCCGCAUUCAUCAAAGUGCUGGCAUCAGUACCAAAGCCAUAUAGUCAUUGCAGCCUAGUGUAUUUAGACGUUUCUGCACUUCAAUUAUAAAAAUGUAACUGACCACACCCUGCAUGAAACUCUGUACAGCCCAUAGAGACAUAUAGUGGCUGAAUAAUACCCUGCAAGUAAACAGGUAGAAGAAGAAGCUGAAGUUGAAGAGAGCUGGCUCUCCUGGUGUUUCCAGUCUGAAGGGAGGGGAUAUUUUGUUUCGUUCUCUAUAUUUUCUGCCAUGUCAUCCCCUAAUCCAGAUUUUCCUCUGCAUGCAUUCUGAGCCAUCUUCCCUCUGAAUCUUGACCUGCGGAGGAGUGAGGAGAAAACAGUUUUUCAUGCUGAUCUGUUUUUGUUGAUGUAGAUCACUGCUGUUCAGAGUUGGCUGUGAAGAGGGGCAGGCUCAAGACCACUCUGUCUUCCUUUGCUUGAGGAACGCAGCUACCGCACUAGCACAGGACUGGCCUGGGGAACACAGCAGAAAACAAUUUUCAAGAUCUCCGUUGGCAACUGGGUUGACUGGACUUCCACCAGGUGAGAAGAAUCUUAGAGGCAAAGUUAGAUUCAGAGGCAUACUGCUUCUGAGACAAGAACCCUGCCAUAUAAAUGAAUUCAAUUUCCAGUGACCAACUGGAAGCUCCAGAGUACCACAGAAGUAGCUGUUCUAGUGGUGGUUGCAGGCAUAACUAGGAGAGGAGAUGCCAAAAAUCUGAUGAGACACCUUGUUCUUUUAGUCCUACAUUCUGGCCUCGCAAGUUGCGCAUCGAGGAGUUUACAGUCCAAGCCACAGCAGGUGGAAGGGAGAACAAGGAGACAAUGAAACAGUUAAGAUCACCACAGCAAGCAGCAGUCACAGCAUACCAGCUGCCUAACCUGUCAAGAGUGUUGUAGGCAUCACAACAGAUGGCGAGGAUCUAAGGAGAAAUUCGAAGGAGGGUGGAGUAGUAGCUUUGUAUGUUCUUCUCUUCGGAUUUACUUCUGCUCCUAGGCAGCACUCGCAUUCAUGCGAGGCUGGAUUCCCCUGCCCUCAGCUCUGCUUAUCACAUGGCAUAUGUGCAAUGCUCUAUACCAGUCGUUCUUAACCUUUACUGCAGCCUGCACCCCUUCGGUUCUCAAACUACAUUCUUGCACCCCUUAUCAAAAAUCAUUGA